CUCAGCCUCCCGAGUAGCUAGGACUACAGGCACGUGCUACCACACCCGGCUAAGUUUUUGUAUUUUUAGUAGAGAUGGGGUUUCACCAGAUUAGCCGGGAUGGUCUCCAGCUCCUGACCUCGUGAACCGCCCGCCUUCGUCUUCCAAAGUGCUGGGAUUACAAGGUGCGACAAGAUAAUGAACCUCCAUUCCUCUGAGAGAAGAGUAUUUUGAAUAUUCGACUUUGCCCAUGAAUUUCCCUUUCCAUG
rnacentral:lncRNA from 1 species